UACGUAGGUGGCAAGCGUUGUCCGGAAUUAUUGGGCGUAAAGCGCGUGCAGGCGGUCUUUUAAGUCUGAUGUGAAAGCCCACGGCUCAACCGUGGAGGGUCAUUGGAAACUGGAGGACUUGAGUACAGAAGAGAAGAGUGGAAUUCCACGUGUAGCGGUGAAAUGCGUAGAGAUGUGGAGGAACACCAGUGGCGAAGGCGACUCUUUGGUCUGUAACUGACGCUGAGGCGCGAAAGCGUGGGGAGCAAACAGG
rnacentral:rRNA from 1 species